ensembl:piRNA 21ur-14200 ncRNA
UUGGAUGAAUUUUUUGAUUUU